AGAAUGAAUUUUAGGAUUUCUCACUGAAGCGGGCAGAGACAUUUGGUCACUUGAACGAAGCAGGACAAACCAAGUUGGCAUACAAGUUACCUGGAGAAACAGAGAGAUGGAUGCAGAGGCUGAAGAUAAAACGCUGCGUACCCGCUCUAAAGGAACGAAGGUGCCAAUGAAUUCUCUAAUCCAGGAGCUCAG